rnacentral:rRNA from 1 species
AGUGAACGCUGGCGGUAGGCCUAACACAUGCAAGUCGAACGGCAGCACAGUAAGAGCUUGCUCUUACGGGUGGCGAGUGGCGGACGGGUGAGGAAUACAUCGGAAUCUACUUUUUCGUGGGGGAUAACGUAGGGAAACUUACGCUAAUACCGCAUACGACCUACGGGUGAAAGCAGGGGAUCUUCGGACCUUGCGCGAUUGAAUGAGCCGAUGUCGGAUUAGCUAGUUGGCGGGGUAAAGGCCCACCAAGGCGACGAUCCGUAGCUGGUCUGAGAGGAUGAUCAGCCACACUGGAACUGAGACACGGUCCAGACUCCUACGGGGGGCAGCAGUGGGGAAUAUUGGGCAAUGGGCGCAAGCCUGAUCCAGCCAUACCGCGUGGGUGAAGAAGGCCUUCGGGUUGUAAAGCCCUUUUGUUGGGAAAGAAAAGCAGCAGGUUAAGACCCCGCUGUUCUGACGGUACCCAAAGAAUAAGCACCGGCUAACUUCGU